AGUAGAUACAUUGUGCUGAAGAAAAUUGCUCAUGAAUACCAAAAAUUUGAAUGUAAACAGGAAGUGCUUUGUUCAUGUUGUUGGAGGCAUUAAUGGAUUGGAGAUAAAUAAUAAUUGUGAAGCUGGAAAUUCUUAAAUGCAUUCAGAGGGACAUCAGUUAAAAGAGUGAGUUCCAGCAACAUGUAUCUUCUAAAAUAUGUGUGAUCAGAUAUAGAAUUUUAUAGUUAUUAAUGGUUUUGGAGGAAAAUGAACAGAAAUUUGGGAAAAAGUUACAGAUUAUGUAUGCUGCGGAGAAAGAUGUCAUUCAGGCGAUCAACCAGAAAUAUGCUGAUGCCAGGUCAACGUUAGCAGCAUCGUGCAAAAAAACAAACUUAACAUUUAUGACAACGCACUGAAAAUUUGCUGUGUAUAUAGUUUUUACUAGAUAGCGUUAAAUUUUUUAGUGAAAUGACAUUGUUGAUAUUUAAUCAACUUCAUUUUUUUCUUUCUAAAAUGCUAUUUUAUGUGUAUAAACUGUUCUAUUUUUAGUAAGAAGAAACCUGAACAUUGUUAAUAUUAACUUUGUUCUUUUUUUUGUUAUU